UUCUUCAUUGUUCAUCUUAAACCUAGAACAAGCAAUCUGAUCUUCAAACAUUGUUAUCAUUGUGUAACAAAUUACUCAUUAGUUGGAACAUUGUGUUCUCUAUAACUUUUAGUACUACUUUAUUUCAUAUUAUUGAACUAUCAUUUUUAGCACACUACUCGUUAGUUGACCAUUUAAGCUGAGCUGGCGAAUUCAAUCUGCAUCUCCCAUUAGCUGACCACAUCACCUGAUUUCCACUAAUAUUGACUAAUCAAAAAGCUAUAAGCA
rnacentral:lncRNA from 1 species